rnacentral:rRNA from 1 species
AGUCGAGCGAACUGAUUAGAAGCUUGCUUCUAUGACGUUAGCGGCGGACGGGUGAGUAACACGUGGGCAACCUGCCUGUAAGACUGGGAUAACUUCGGGAAACCGAAGCUAAUACCGGAUAGGAUCUUCUCCUUCAUGGGAGAUGAUUGAAAGAUGGUUUCGGCUAUCACUUACAGAUGGGCCCGCGGUGCAUUAGCUAGUUGGUGAGGUAACGGCUCACCAAGGCAACGAUGCAUAGCCGACCUGAGAGGGUGAUCGGCCACACUGGGACUGAGACACGGCCCAGACUCCUACGGGAGGCAGCAGUAGGGAAUCUUCCGCAAUGGACGAAAGUCUGACGGAGCAACGCCGCGUGAGUGAUGAAGGCUUUCGGGUCGUAAAACUCUGUUGUUAGGGAAGAACAAGUACGAGAGUAACUGCUUGUACCUUGACGGUACCUAACCAGAAAGCCACGGCUAACUACGUGCCAGCAGCCGCGGUAAUACGUAGGUGGCAAGCGUUAUCCGGAAUUAUUGGGCGUAAAGCGCGCGCAGGCGGUUUCUUAAGUCUGAUGUGAAAGCCCACGGCUCAACCGUGGAGGGUCAUUGGAAACUGGGGAACUUGAGUGCAGAAGAGAAAA